rnacentral:misc_RNA from 1 species
CGCACAUUGCGCCCUCUGGUAUUCCGGAGGGCAUGCCUGUUCGAGCGUCAUUAUCACCCCUCAAGCCCGGCUUGUUGUUGGACGUCGGCGGCGGCACACCCGCUCCCGCCCGUCUCAAAGGUAAUGACGGCGUCUGUGAGGACUCCUGUACACUGAGCUUUCGGGCACGUACUAGGCUAGAAAUCCAGACCCGGUCGCCGUCCCCCCGCGGGACAAAACUUUUUCACAAGGUUGACCUCGGAUCAGGUAGGAAUACCCGCUGAACUUAA